rnacentral:lncRNA from 1 species
CUUGACUCUGUGCUUACGGUCCGCAGAUCAAGGUUCAGAGUUCUCAGUGGAAAUUGCGGAGUUUUCCUUCUGUAAAAAAAUGUGUCAGCAUCAUGUGAUUUCUGCCUUCCCUAAAGGCAAAGUUAUCAGGAGGUUGAACUUCUAAAUCCUCUCAGAGCAUACAGGUCAUUCUGCAAACCCAACGGAAGACAUGAGAAG